rnacentral:tRNA from 6 species
GGGCCGCUAGCUCAAUUGGCAGAGCAAGAGCCUUUUAAGCUCUGGGUUCAGGGUUCGAGUCCCUGGCGGCUCACAA